rnacentral:rRNA from 1 species
CGUACAGAACGAACGCUGGCGGCGUGGAUUAGGCAUGCAAGUCGAACGGGACUUAUGUUGUAGCAAUACUUAUAAAGUCUAGUGGCGUAAGGGUCGAGUAACACGUGGGUAACGUACCCGAUAGUUUGGGAUAACGUUCCGAAAGGGACGCUAAUACCGGAUGUGAUGUUAAAACGCUGGUUUUAACAAGAAAGGUGGGGACCGCAAGGCCUGCCGCUAACGGAACGGCCCGCGACCUAUUAGCUAGUUGGUGGGGUAAAAGGCCUACCAAGGCGAGGAUGGGUAGCCGAACUGAGAGGUUGACCGGCCACACUGGGACUGAGACACUGCCCAGACUUCUACGGAAGGCUGCAGUCGAGAAUCAUUCACAAUGGACGAAAGUCUGAUGAUGCGACGCCGCGUGCGCGGAAUGAAGGUCUUCGGAUUGUAAAGCGCUUUGAACAGGGAAGAAUGCCGCGUAUUUAAUAGAUAACGCGGAGGGACAGUACCUGACAAACAAGCCCCGGCUAAUUUCGUGCCAGCCGCGGC